UACAGAGGGUGCGAGCGUUAAUCGGAAUUACUGGGCGUAAAGGGCGCGUAGGCGGUUUGUUAAGUCGGUUGUGAAAGCCCGGGGCUCAACCCCGGAGGGUCGACCGAUACUGGCAGGCUAGAGUACAGAAGAGGUAGCUGGAAUUCCUGGUGUAGCGGUGAAAUGCGCAGAUAUCAGGAGGAACACCCGUGGCGAAAGCGGCUCUCGUGGGACGGUACUGACGCUGAGACGCGAAAGCGUGGGGAGGCAAACAGG
rnacentral:rRNA from 1 species